CUCUGUUACCAGCAGUAUGGAAAAUUCACAUUGUGGCUGGUCUUGAAACCAGCUCUCCCAAAGUGUUCUACCAUAAGUCUGCACAACAACUUAAAAUCAUUACAUAGCAACAAUUUAAAACUGUUAGAAGGGAAAACGUCCACUAAAGAAGAAAUUCUUCAAUGCAAUCAUGUUAGAACAGAACAGUUUGCUGGAACUGAUGCUACAAACAACAUUUAGAACAGAUGCCUUUUACGGAAAUGAGAGCUGCAUACAUUCAUCUAUUACUGAUUUCCCAGCAACAAAUCUAACCAGG